UGAGGAAUAUUGGUCAAUGGACGAGAGUCUGAACCAGCCAAGUAGCGUGAAGGAUGACUGCCCUAUGGGUUGUAAACUUCUUUUAUAUGGGAAUAAAGUGUUCCACGUGUGGGAUUUUGUAUGUACCAUAUGAAUAAGGAUCGGCUAACUCCGUGCCAGCAGCCGCGGUAAUACGGAGGAUCCGAGCGUUAUCCGGAUUUAUUGGGUUUAAAGGGAGCGUAGGUGGAUUGUUAAGUCAGUUGUGAAAGUUUGCGGCUCAACCGUAAAAUUGCAGUUGAAACUG
rnacentral:rRNA from 1 species